AGACAUCAGAAAAAUCUGUGCU
rnacentral:miRNA from 1 species